CCGGUAGUCCAGUGGUUAGCACGUGGGCUUCACAGUGCAGAGGUACCGGGUUCGAUUCCAGCUCCGGCCUCCCUGUGUGGAGUUUGCAUGUUCUCCCCCGGGCCUGCGUGGGUUUUC